UACGUAGGGGGCUAGCGUUGUCCGGAUUUAUUGGGCGUAAAGAGCGUGUAGGCGGCCAGGUAGGUCUGGUGUGAAAACUCGAGGCUUAACCUCGAGAUGUCAUCGGAAACCAUCUGGCUAGAGUCCGGAAGAGGAGAGUGGAAUUCCUGGUGUAGCGGUGAAAUGCGCAGAUAUCAGGAAGAACACCAGUGGCGAAGGCGGCUCACUGGCCCGGUACUGACGCUGAGGUGCGAAAGCGUGGGGAGCAAACAGG
rnacentral:rRNA from 1 species